UCGGGAAUUUUGGGCAAUGGGCGAAAGCCUGACCCAGCAACGCCGCGUGAAGGAUGAAGUAUUUCGGUAUGUAAACUUCGAAAGAAUAGGAAGAAUAAAUGACGGUACUAUUUAUAAGGUCCGGCUAACUACGUGCCAGCAGCCGCGGUAAUACGUAGGGACCAAGCGUUGUUCGGAUUUACUGGGCGUAAAGGGCGCGUAGGCGGCUUGACAAGUCACUUGUGAAAUCUCUGGGCUUAACCCAGAACGGCCAAGUGAAACUGUCAUGCUAGAGUGCAGAAGGGGCAAUCGGAAUUCUUGGUGUAGCGGUGAAAUGCGUAGAUAUCAAGAGGAACACCUGAGGUGAAGACGGGUUGCUGGGCUGACACUGACGCUGAGGCGCGAAAGCCAGGGGAGCAAACGGGAUUAGAUACCCAGGUAGUCCCUGAGCGGGCUGGCAAGGCGCAU
rnacentral:rRNA from 1 species